GAUCUUGAGUUCCAGUCCCACAUGGGCUACCUAGUAAGACCUUGUCUCUAAAACGUUAGAGGAGAGGGAAGGAGGGAGGGAGGCUCUUCCCUGGGUGCACAAGACAUCUCCACAACACCUCCAAAUGUUAGAGAAACAGCUAUUAGAUCCUGGGCAAGCUGCCCGUGGUGGUAUAUACCAGUAGUCCCAGCACUCGGAAGGCAGGCAAAUCUCUUGAGUUCAAAGCCAGCUUGGUUUACAUGGUGAGUCCAGGAUAGCCAAGGCUACAUAGUAAGAACCUACCUUGAAAAAAAAAAAAAAAGGAAACAAGCCAAGCGGUGGUUUGUGCAUAGGUUUAAGCCCUUAUCCUCAGGAAGCAGAAACAAGCAUAUUUCUUGAGCUCCAGGCCAACCUGGUGGACAGAACAAAUUCCAGGGCAGUCUGAGCUACAGAGUAAGAACUUAUCUUGAACAAAACAAAACAAAAACACAGAAGGAUGCCAGGCAGAGUGAUUGCUUCCUUAUAUUCCCAGUGCUGGCAGGGGAGGGAUGAGACUGAGUUCUGGGCUGAUCUGAACGAUAGCCUGGGACCCUGUCUCAAGAGAAAGAAAAAGAAAGAAGGAAAGAGACCAGACAGUGGGAACGUCUAUGUUUUAGGGUUCCCAUAAGGAUCCUGCUUCUGGGAACAUCAGGUUCAGUUAGAGCCGGUAUGUACAUGUUGGCCCAGGAUGAUCUCCGAUUAUAGAACUCUGGGGAGGUGAUUCCUGGAAGUGUGCUGGUGGGAGUUGGGGAAAAUAAAUUGUAGGCUGGUACAUUGAUCCUGGUACCAAGCCUGAGUUUAAUCUCCAGAACCCACAUUGUAGAAGCAGAGAACUGAGUCCUGCAAGCAGUCCUUGGAUCCCACAUGUGUGAUGGUGUCCACUCACACACAAGCAC
ensembl:lincRNA Gm26830 predicted gene, 26830